CGUCUCCUUCUGUGCUUUUUUUUUUUUUUUUUAAUUAAUGGGCUUCAUAAGGUACUUUAAUGUGCUUGGUCAGAACAGGCUGACAGUCUGGAAUCGCUGCGGCCAUACAGUAUGCCACAAGUUGCCAUCUCUUUCUGGUUCGGCUUAGAUAUUAUACAAACGUAUUUCUAUCGCCAUAGAUGUCUGCAUCGGUCGCUUGCACCCUCUGGGGAGAGGCGGUGUUCCCGGGGACUCUGAGGAUGCCCAGCACAUACCCCGAUCGCUGCGAUUAGGAAGCAGCAGGACCCGCUUUCAAACGACAAGGCGCAGCCCCGUCUGCCAGGCGGGCGCCGCGCGUGACGACUGACGUCAUGCUGUCUCGCGACUCGGCGGAAAAAGAAGCACGCGCUGACAGUCACCGCCGAAGGGAGGGCGGGGGGAUGCGACUCGCGAGGUCACCGGCACGGGACGCCAGCAGAGGAGCUUCCGGCCCGGCUCAGGGUGAGACUGAAAUCCCGAGCCCAUAUUGGCUGCCUGCUUAAGGAGGGGAGGAUGCCUUUGUGAGCAUCAUCGAACAUCCUUGUGUGAUCCAGCUUAUCUAGAGAGAGUCCAUCACACCCUACUGACAUAAUGAUAAGGCUGAUUGGAUCCUGGGGAGACUUUUUCACCAGAGGGCCGCUGUGACCUUGUUUCCAACAUGCUGCCUAAUAUAUUGAUUCUUCUCUCACUCGACAUCCUUGAUAUUAAUAAAAUAUAAGUUUGUAUA